GCGACGCCAUGCGCGGUGUCUGAUCUUCACGAGCGAUGGUUUCUUUUUUGUGUGUUUGAGGGCGUCUUAAACAUGCGAAUUAAUUCCCGCUCAAAUAUUUCGACAAACAGGGGUUGACUACAGCUUGCUGCAAUGCAAGUGCUGUCUCAUGCAUGCAUGCAUGCAUGAGGGUGUCUAGCUAGCUAGUGGCACCCAGGCUUACCCUAGGUGAUCUGUGUUCACAGCAGCCACAAAGCUUGUAUUUCAAGACUGAUUUCAUGUACAUUCACUUACAGGUACAAAUUAUUGUAAUGCAUUUCUCUAAAAAAUGCUCCGUUUUUAAAGUGGUGCUCAGUGCCCUUCUCCUUGUUGCACUGUUGCAGCUUUUAUAUCUGUCUUUCAUCUCAAAAUUGCAUGGCAAACAGCAGCGCUACAAAUAUUCCGAGCUGUUUGGCUCCAAAAAGACCUCGCAUCAAGAAAAAAACCCCAGGCGAGAACAUCUCAGAUACUCUUUAUCCACAGGUGGCAUCUUCGAUGGUAGCGGACAGUACCGUGUGUAUAAAAAUCUAAUCAAAAGUGACUUUUCUACCAAUCAGAAGCCAGGUGCAGAUCCAAGAUCACACCACCUUGCUUUGGCUUCGCAUACGACUAUCAAUAACCUUCAUCACUUGAACUCUUUGCUGGAGCGCUGGCAGAAUCCACUGUCCAUCGCCAUAUUCGCCCAUGGCCAAGAUGUCAGGUUUGCCACCGCCUUUGUCUAUGCCCUCAGCCUCUUCUGUCCUCAGAUUCAAGCUCUGGUGGACUUCCAUCUGGUCUGCCACUCAGGGGAGAUGGCCAGCUUUCCAGAACAGGACAGAGAGCAUUUUGCUGGGCUUGAAGAGAAAGGGUGUAUCGGUGUCUUUGCAAAACUUGAAUCCUACCGAGACAAGUAUAAAAACUACGCCAUUGGCAGCAAUGUCUCGUACCCCAAUAACCUCCUCCGUAACGUGGCCCGAAGUGGCACAGAUGCUGCCUACAUCCUGGUCAUCGACAUUGAUAUGAUACCCAGUGCUAAUUUACACCACCAGUUCGUGACCAUGCUGAUGAAACGUGAACCAGCAGCGGACGAAGUCCUCGUGCUUCCUGCUUUUGAAAUCAGACACACUCGUAAAAUGCCCGCCUCUAAGUCGGAGCUGGUACAGCUCUAUCAGGUUGGGGAGGUGCGGCCGUUCUAUGAUGAACUUUGCCCUCGUUGUCAGGCUCCGACUAACUACUCUCAGUGGGUCAAUCUGCCCAGCAAAAGCUCUGGGCCACUGGAGGUGGUGUACACUAUAAAUUGGGCGGAUCCAUGGGAGCCAUUCUAUAUUGGUGCUCAAUCGGUUCCUCUAUACGAUGAAAACUUCAGGCAAUAUGGCUUCAACCGCAUCAGUCAGAAACCGCUUGUCAAAGCUUAAGAUGUUUUGUCAAGAAUAAUCUGGGGAAGGAAUUCAGACACUGUCGACACAAAGACACAAAAACUCACACAGAGUGAAAGUAUGAGCCAUUAAUCUGCAAAAUAACCAUCUGCAAAGAUCUGCUCUCCAAGAGGUAUGUGUUUGUAGGUCACAUAUAUUUAAAUUAGUAUAUUUUUAGUAAAUUGUAUCUUUUAAAAAUGUAAUUUUAUUAGCUACCUGAUUUUCACUGAUGUUUUAAACUCUUAUUGUAAAAAAUGUACACUUAUGUGGGGAGUAGAAAAAAUUCCAAGCAUUGUCUGCAGUUUUCUGUGGUGUGACAUACUUUCUUCAUUCUGCAUUUUCUUGUUUACUGUAUUAUACUUGCUGUUUCCAUGUCCUCAUAUUAAUUGAGAGAGUUCGUACUUCUAGAAAAAAGGUAAUUAAAAUGGUGAAAACUUGAAAUGGUAAUGAAAUGCUGACCUGUCACAGCACUUUAAAUACACUUUUUCCCUUAUUCAUGUACACCGGUGGGGCCCAUUUUCAUUUCGCCCCACAAUCCACUACCUUCUCUGUCCUAACGUCAUAGUUUUCCAAAGAAGGCAGUUAUGGAGCAUGUUUUUUAAAGUUUUUAGUGCCGUUUCAAUGUGGAAAUAAAUGUGUUUUCAAAUGAAAACAUAUUAGUGUGGAUGUGAUCUAAAUGAUGAUAUAUGCUUUUGUUGAAGCCACAGGUCAGUGUGAUUACCACUUCAUUUAAAAUGUAAAAUCGUGUUUAUUUGGACAUUUCCAGUGAAGAACUACACUACCCAUAAUCAUGCAGAGAGAUCCACCAAUCAGGAAAGUUGCUGGUACCAUGGAAAUCUAAAUUGUAAACUACUUGUAUACUGUGUAGAUUUAAAUAAACUGAAAUAUAUUGUACUUAUAAUCAGUUAUUAUACAGUACUGUGCAAAAGUUUUAGGCACUUGUGAAAAAUGUUGCCUAGUGAGGAUUUCUUCAAAAAUAAUGCCAUGAAUAGUUUUCAUUUAUAAAUUAACGUCAUACAAAGACCAGUAAAAAAAAAUAUUAUCAAUAUUAUCAAAAAUAUUAUCAAUAUUUCGUGUGACCACUUUGGCUUCAAAACAGCACCAUUUCUCCUAGGUACACCUGGACACAGUUUUUCUUGGUUGUUGGCAGAAAGGAUAUUCCAAGCUUCUUGGAGAAUUUGCUACAGUUCUUCUAUCUUCUAUCUGUCCCAGUUGCUUCUGUCUCUUCAUGUAAUCCCAGACUCGAUGUUCAGUGGGGGACUCUGUGGGGGUCAUACAGUCUGUUGCAGGGCUCCCUAUUAUUCUAUUCUAUUCUAUUAGCAAAAGGAAUGUUUGGGAGUCUAAAAUGUAUAUUUCAUCAAUAAAGCUGAAGAUAUAAAUAACCAUCUUAAGACAAAUGUUUUUGUUAAAUAUCUUAUGUACUUUCUGAUUCAGUUAUGCCUUGGGGUUUAGGAUAUCACAACAAAAAAAAAAAACUUCUGGAUUGAAACACCAAGAUAAAAUCUCCAAAAUGCACAUAAAAACCUAAAUACUAACCUAACAUUUAGGCGUGUGAGCUUCACAUAGCAGGUUACAGGUUCUCUGUAGUGAGCAAUGCCUUUGUGGUGCACAAAGGGUUUAAGGUCCAGGGAGAUUUCCACAGCAGAAAGGAUGAGGAGAACCAUAAAAACCGUCUCCUCUUUCG